rnacentral:rRNA from 1 species
AGAACGAACGCUGGCGGCAGGCCUAACACAUGCAAGUCGAACGGAUGUAGCAAUACAUUAGUGGCGCACGGGAGAGUAACGCGUGGGAACCUACCUUUUGGUUUGGGAUAACGUCGGGAAACUGACGCUAAUACCAGAUAAGCCCUUCGGGGGAAAGAUUUAUCGCCGAUAGAUGGGCCCGCGUUAGAUUAGCUAGUUGGUGAGGUAACGGCUCACCAAGGCGACGAUCUAUAACUGGUCUGAGAGGAUGACCAGUCUCACUGGGACUGAGACACGGCCCAGACUCCUACGGGAGGCAGCAGUGGGGAAUAUUGGACAAUGGGCGCAAGCCUGAUCCAGCCAUGCCGCGUGAGUGAUGAAGGCCCCAGGGUUGUAAAGCUCUUUGUGCGGGAAGAUAAUGACGGUACCGCAAGAAUAAGCCCGGCUAACUUCGUGCCAGCAGCCGC